rnacentral:lncRNA from 1 species
AGUGCGAUAAUGUUAACCAGUAUGAGCGUAUAGCAUACCCGCUAAUGCAUUUGGGUUUUUCCUCCCAUGCUUUCACUGUUCCAUCAGAUGUAAUAUAUAUUGGAACUCGGAUCACUCUGGUUAACCUACCCGCCUGGUCGGCUGCUCCAGCAUACGUUCCAAGUGUUCCAACUGUUCCAACUUUCAACUAUUGGAGCAUGUUGGAAGUUGGGACCGGUACAUGUUACGGCGACGACGUUCUGUCUUGACUGUUGCUGCUGGCUGCAAUGUCCCAGCUGGCGAGUGCUGUCGUGGAUUACAUCGCGUCACGCACACCCAUAUAUGUUGUCGCGAGAGUCGCCUGGGUGGUAUAUAGCGUGAUGAGAACGAAACGUAAUCGGGCAUUGCAUUACGCCGGUUCCUUGUGGUUCCCCCAUAGUCUCAUCGACUGCCACAGAGACUCGCGUGAUCCGAAGAAGACUGCAGACGGUGCGGCGACCUGGCCUCCCUGCAGACAGCAACGCAGGCUGCAGUGUAUAGAGCAGCAAGGAGCAGACAUGCGACGUGGGGUGGCGAGAGUGGGGGCCCUUCCAGACUGGGGAAGGCGUUGACCCCCGUGCAGUGUCUGUCUACCGCUGCUGCUGCUAGCUGCUCUGCAGCCGCCGCCGCCGUCUCCGCCACACUUGCCCCAACUGCUACGAGCAUGCACGGAUGGGAUCUCCAUGUGCUUCUCGGACGGCGGGAAGAAGAGCUGCUUGUCCAGCUCAUUGCCCAGGAAGCCCGGCAGCCUCGACGCUGUACGCCUGUACGUGUGCGCUCGAUCACUCGUUGUGCUAUAUUAUAGCAGGUGUCUUCAAAUGUAUUAUAAAUCCGACCAAAGGUCGAAACCAACUUGAAGAACCAAGUGAGGUUUCCUGGUUAACCCACAAUACAGACACUGUUAAUAUUUCUUUCGCUGCUUAAAGCGUUUCUCAGUCCGUCGGUGUUGCAUCUGAGUACAGAUUUUCAAAGUUCCGAUUUAGUCA